rnacentral:rRNA from 1 species
AGAUGGAUUAGUGGCGCACGGGUGAGUAACGCAUAGAUAACAUGCCCUUUAGUCUAGGAUAGCCACUGGAAACGGUGAUUAAUACUGGAUACUCCUUACGAGGGAAAGAAUUUCGCUAAAGGAUUGGUCUAUGUCCUAUCAGCUUGUUGGUGAGGUAAUGGCUUACCAAGGCUAUGACGGGUAUCCGGCCUGAGAGGGUGAACGGACACACUGGAACUGAGACACGGUCCAGACUCCUACGGGAGGCAGCAGUAGGGAAUAUUGCUCAAUGGGGGAAACCCUGAAGCAGCAACGCCGCGUGGAGGAUGAAGGUCUUAGGAUUGUAAACUCCUUUUGUUAGAGAAGAUA